CUCCUCCUCCUCCCUCUCUCAUUGGGAUUAUUUGGGUUUGUUAAUUUUGCGACCCGUUCUCGCAAUCUUGUUUGUGUUUUCGUUUAUAUCUAUUGGUUAGUGUUUGGCAUGGAAGCUAGUGCUGGUACAUGUGCCUUUGGUUCAAGAUAUUUUCGGCCUGCGUAAAAAUCCCACCAAGCCUAAGCCACUGACCCUUCGAAUAUCAAGAAUUUUUUAUACCAUUGAGCCCCGAUAUUUCACUCCUGCUGGGAUUUCCUGGUCGAAAAUGGGUCACAAAGUGCGGCUCUUAGCUAGAAAUCAAUCAAGUAAUAUUGUGAUGAUGACUCAAUAACCAGGAUUUUAGCUGUACUAGUUUUAUCCGGAAAAACGGUAGUGGGUUUCCAGUUGUUAUGCUGAUCUUGAAUACUACGACAGCUGAGUGUUUCAUAGAACGACCCGCAAGGUGUUUUUCAUUAGUUUUAUGGAUACCUGGUCACGAAGAAAAGCAUGAGAUAUCUGUGGGAAUU